rnacentral:rRNA from 1 species
AGUGAACGCUGGCGGUAGGCCUAACACAGGCAAGUCGAACGGCAGCACAGUAAGAGCUUGCUCUUACGGGUGGCGAGUGGCGGACGGGUGAGGAAUACAUCGGAAUCUACUUUUUCGUGGGGGAUAACGUAGGGAAACUUACGCUAAUACCGCAUACGACCUACGGGUGAAAGCAGGGGAUCUUCGGACCUUGUGCGAUUGAAUGAGCCGAUGCCGGAUUAGCUAGUUGGCGGGGUAAAGGCCCACCAAGGCGACGAUCCGUAGCUGGUCUGAGAGGAUGAUCAGCCACACUGGAACUGAGACACGGUCCAGACUCCUACGGGAGGCAGCAGUGGGGAAUAUUGGACAAUGGGCGCAAGCCUGAUCCAGCCAUACCGCGUGGGUGAAGAAGGCCUUCGGGUUGUAAAGCCCUUUUGUUGGGAAAGAAAAGCAGCAGGUUAAUACCCCGCUGUUCUGACGGUACCCAAAGAAUAAGCACCGGCUAACUUCGUG